AUACGAAGGGGGCUAGCGUUGUUCGGAAUUACUGGGCGUAAAGCGCGCGUAGGCGGUGUGCCAUGUCAGAGGUGAAAUCCCGGAGCUCAACUUCGGAAUUGCCUUUGAAACGGGUACACUUGAGUCCGAGAGAGGAUGGCGGAAUUCCUAGUGUAGAGGUGAAAUGCGUAGAUAUUAGGAAGAACACCAGUGGCGAAGGCGGCCAUCUGGCUCGGUACUGACGCUCAGGUGCGAAAGCGUGGGGAGCAAACAGGAUUAGAUACCCCGGUAGUCC
rnacentral:rRNA from 1 species